rnacentral:rRNA from 1 species
UACGGGGGGAGCAAGCGUUGUCCGGAAUUAUUGGGCGUAAAGGGUGCGUAGACGGAAUGAUAAGUCUGGUGUGAAAGUUCACGGCUUAACCGUGAAGGGUCAUUGGAUACUGUUAUUCUUGAAUCACAGAGGGGGUCGUGGAAUUCCUGGUGUAGCGGUGAAAUGCGUAGAUAUCAGGAGGAAGACCGGUGGCGAAGGCGACGACCUGGCUGUGAAUUGACGUUGAGGCACGAAAGCGUGGGGAGCAAACAGG